GCGAUGAGGUGGAAACGGACAGAGCUGGCGUAUCUGGCCUGCAUUCAGCCGUGCCCCGCUGGCGUCAGGGAUGCCGCUCUCCAGAUUGGGACGGUGGCCUGUCUGCCGGCGGGUUUGCGGUGCAUUUGCAGGUGGAGUGCGCCGAGGCGCUCGGUGCAGCGGCAUGAGCUUGGCUUUGAGGCCAGCCCCUCACGGGGUCUGGUACCCGGGCCAGGGGAGUGCUGUUUGCGCUGGGUGACAGCCAUGGGCAAUGGACUCGGGCUCGUGUGGGUGCCGAGCUGGAGGUCGGCGUCGGUCGCUUGCGACACGUGUUGGCACUCAGUUCGGUCCUGCUCGAGCUCACAUCUGCCCGUCCUCGGUGUAAAAGCCGGUCAUCUGUCCGACCCGUCUUGAAACACGGACCAAGGAGUUUAGCGUGUGCGCGAGUCAUUGGGCGUUGAAAACCCAAAGGCGUAAUGAAAGUGAAGGUCUCCCUUGCGGAGCUGACGUGUGAUCCUGGGCACUGCGGUGCGCCGGGCGCAACAUGGUCCCGUCCCGAUUGCUUGCAAUGGGGCGGAGACAGAGCGUACGCGCUGAG
rnacentral:rRNA from 1 species